rnacentral:tRNA from 1 species
UGGUGUAGCUCAGUUGGCUAGAGCAGCUGAUUUGUAAUCAGCAGGUCGGGGGUUCGACUCCCUUCACC